UCGUCCUCAGUGAGGUCUCUGUGGUGGUCAGCUCACCUCUACAUUAUGGGCGACCUAACAGUGAACCGAGAUGAAUUGAAAUCGUCUGUUCCUAAGUGACAGAGCGUGACCCAAAAUGGGAAAAUCACCUUCUGACUCUCAGGCGAUGAAAAAUGUGCAAGCAGACUGUCGGGAAAUGAGCAUUAAUAUAUCAGAGAAUAUAAAUGUUUACGAGAAAAGGCGGCAGCACGCCACCCUCGACCCCUAACUCAAGGGUGUUCUCUGUGUCACAGUGCUAUUAGCCUGAGAAACGACAGGAGGAAGCAAAAGUCAAUAUAAGUCUAUAUUGAAUAGAAAGGAUUCUGUCUGCCUGAGGCUGGCUGCAGUCUAAAGUGCAAGGAUACAUCAGGCUGGGAAAUAUGAAACAGGAUAUUCUUUUUUUAUUGGUUUGCAGCAGGGUAGAAGCGUUGUAGGGUAAAUAAUGGGGGAGAGGAGGACAUUUGUUACAUACUGUUGAUGGCAGAUAUGGGAGAUUUAUUCACAUGCACUAAAACUCAAAAAAUGAAGAGUUUUUGAAAAGUCAAUGUGAUGUAUGAAAUUUCUUCAGGUGACUGGUGGUCUUCUUGACCUGAACAUUAUCUGGGGCUUUAAAAUUCCUCAGGCAGCGGACCAAUGGCUUGCAGGGACAUAAUGCAGUUAGUGUAUUAUCUCAUUAUAAAACAGCCCGACCCUAUUUUCUGCUUCAAUGAGCAAGAGGACACAAAAACAGCAAAAUAACUAUGUGCUCCAUGCAUUUUUCUGUAUCACAAUAUGUGUUCUGGGUAAUAGGUUUCAUCAGCAUUUCUUCAAUGAACAAGUAUUUCAAUUAAUAUGGAAAUAGUUGGAAAACACGUACAUGACAUGGGAUAGAUUCUUCUUUUUUUCUCAGCUUCAUAUGGGCUUCCUUGACUAUCAUUGGCACAACUCUGGUCCUCAGGUUGACAAACGCCAGUAAAAGACUUCAAAGGCAAUCAAAAGCCUAGAAUCAAGACUUGUGAACGGAUUAUGAAAACAAAAUGUAUAAAAGUAUCAUUUAAUAAAAGCUGAGAAUCUGCACUUUACCCAUGUGUGAAUUGUUUGAUUACAAAUCUAAAAUUGUGUACAGAGCCAAACAGGGAAAAGUCUCUGUCCUAAACAUUAUGGAGCUCACUGUAUAUAUCAAUUUGCCAUGUCCAAUCCCGCCUGAAUUUGGAAUGUCCAAUUUAUAAACUAUGUAGGAAUGUGCUCGUGUUUGCCCUCUGCUCCCCACUCGGGAGAGUGAGGACAGCUCACCCUCACUCACAGUUCUCCUCCGAAACAUGCGGUGUCACUAUUGUUUCUUUUCAUAUCACAGGUGAAAAGCGGUGCGGGGAGACCCAAUCAUACUCUUGCACAGAGAGAAGACCACGAGUGCCCACACAGUACAGCAGUGGUCGCCUGACCAACUUAACACUGCUGUCCCUGCUGACUGAAUCCCCCCCACAUCCCUCUGGUGAAGCAAGCCAUUUGUGUGCCAUCCUUGCGGAGCUGCCAGCCACAGACGGCACUGGCACGGGCCAGAUUUGAUCCAAGUCCGUGUUGCUCACUCGAGCCACUCAUUACCGGGAGCUGGGGAUGUGUGGGCCCUUGAGCAUUCCUUCCAAGAACCCAGCACCUUCUGCACUUUCUGCCUGAGGCCAGGUUUGAGCCAUGUAGCCAUGUUAUUAUAGUGAAUCAUUACGAAGGGGCAGAGAGCAAAUGGAAAAUGUUCAUCUAGGACAGAAGUCAAAAGGCACAUUUGCUUAUUCUUGUGGAAUAUGUUAAUGAUUGUGAAUCAGCCACAAUGUGUAAUCUUGCUCUGUGUACUGUGCUGUACUUUGUGCAGCUAUUUAUAAAUGAUCUAGUUGCAUUGCUAUGAAUAUGCCAAAUAAAUAUGAAAAAUGACACAUGAUUGAUGGCUGGCUAACAGACGUCCAACGCUGACUGAAAACCUGCUGAUGAGCCUGUCUGCCUGCCACCCAUCACCAGGCCAGUGGACGUCAAAUGUCAAAUGCGUCUUUGAGGCAACAUUACGGGAGAUGGGGAAUGGAUGACCAACUGGACCUCAAGGAGCACAUCAAGGCAACAUCAAGGUCCUGCAGAUUCCUCCUAUACAACAUCAGGAGGAUUCGACCAUACCUGACGACGCACUCCACCCAGCUGCUCGUCCAGGCUACGGUGACCUCUCGCCUUGAUUACUGCAACUCUCUCCUUGCAAACCUGCCAGCCCGUGCCAUACAGCCACUACAGAUGAUUCAGAAUGCCGCUGCCCGGCUCAUCUACAACCUCCCCAAAUUCUCCCACGUCACUCCUCUGCUGCGAUCGCUUCACUGGCUACCGGUCGCUGCCAGGAUCCGAUUCAAAGCCCUGACCCUUGCCUACACUGCCGCCAACAGGACAGCCCCCAUCUACUUGCAGGACAUGACUCAAUUCUAUGUACCUGCUCGACCACUCCGCUCUGCAGCAGCAGGGCGUCUUGUAACCCCUCCCACCCGCCCAAAGGGAUCACAGAGCUUCUCCACCCUAGCUCCCCAGUGGUGGAACGAACUCCCCGUCCCUCUUCGAACCUCCCCCUCACUAUCCAUCUUCCGCCGUGGCCUGAAGACUCAUCUCUUCAGACUAUACCUAGAAUAACCACCACCAUGCUGUGUAUAUAUAUAUAUUAAAAAAAAAAAAAAAAAAAAAAAAACCCUUUUUCCUUGUCACUUGUUACAUGUUGCCCCAUCCCUGCACUUCUUGGUAAAUUGUAUUUGUCCUAAUACUCUAGCUUAAUCUUCUGCCUAGUUUGGCUUUGCAGAUGUUAGACCAGGAUAGUGUUCAUUGUUCUCAGCUAGAAAUAGCUGUACAAAAUAAGUAAUUGUACCUUACUGAACCUGUGUUCAGCAGUUGUCUACGAUCAUGAAAAUGCACUUCUUGUACGUCGCUUUGGAUAAAAGCGUCUGCCAAAUGAAUGUAAUGUAAUGUAAUGGAAUGGGAAUAAUGUUUCUAUGCCAAAUAAAGUGAAAUAAAUUAAUUAAAAAUUGUUUCAAGAUUUUUAUGUAGAAAAAUUGAUUUCCAUGUA